ensembl:lncRNA
UCUCCUCUUCCUCCGCCCAGACAGUGAGUCACAGUCUGCCCUGACUGGAGCUUUAGGUUCCCAUGGCUCCUCUGCUCGCAGUCAGUAAGUCAGAUCACUAGUCAGUCAGUCAGUUAGCUGCUGGUGUGCGUGGGCUGAGGCCCAGCCAGGCCAGCACACGGUGAGGUAAGCUGUUCCACGACACAGUUUCUUCUGAGUCAGGGAAAUGUGCUCACAGCUACCAGCCAGGACAUCCACUGCUGCAUGUAGCACUGACUCACCUCACGCACACACUGCUUCAGAUUGCUUAUACAGACUCUCAAACAUCUGCGUCUGAACGCCAACCAGGUCCAGUAUGGAAUUAAUUGAGUGGAAACGGUCCCUACAGAGCAGCAGCCCUUUCCCUCUUCACAGAAGGAUCAUCUCUCCCCCUCUGAGACAAGGCCGACAGGAAGUGGGAGUUUACAUUGGCCUAGUUUACCCAAAAAAGCAGCCUGGGUCGACGAGCUGCAGAGCUCGUGUGCUGUUUCUGCUGCUGCACUUUGCCACGACCAGCGCCAUGUACCAUCCCCCCCUCAUCAGCUGUCCCACCCAUGGCUGCUCUUUUAAGCCAAGUUUUCGGGUGGAGUUGGGUGGCCAGGAACUUCAGAGUGGCCUUCGGUGCAGCAGCAGCAGUUAGGGCUCACGGCCUGGGAGACAGGAAGGAGCUGUCAGCAUCUCAUAAACAGGACUCGUCCUGUACUCAUGACACACAAGACCUGGAGAGAACUCUCCCAGGAACAGACUUUAGACACACUUUCUCUCCAGACUGUGGUUCAGUCUUGUGCUCAUCAGUGACCUGCUGGAGAUGAACCAUAACGUAGAUUCUGAAUAUGUGUGACUAUCACCUGAGGGUCAUUAGGAUGACCUGAGGAUAUGUUACAGUCACUUGAUAGAGAGCUGAUCAUCUGCGGUGUUGUGACCCCUGAUGCUACUUGUGAAUUCAAGUUGUGAUGUGUAAAAUAUAAAGGUGCUGAAAAUGUGUCAUCUUAGUGAGAGGCUUGUUAUUCUUUCUUUUGUAUUUUACGAUUGUGCUAGGUCAAUCUGCGAAAUAAUCACUUGCAGAAGUUCCAAAACUUUUACUUACUUAGUAACCAGGGCAUCGACCACGGGCUCAAAGCAAACUUCUAUUGCGUUGAAUUAUUAAGAUACGAAAUGAUACUAAGAGAGAAAAUCAGGUGAUCCAUUUUCUAUGCUUGUUGAAUUUAGAAAAACUAUUUACAAUAUCAAUGAGGUAAUAACACAAACUCACAGUCCACAAUAAUACAAACUCAUGCACACAUAUUUUGAACUGAAUAAACAAGCUGUCUGCCAAGUAGCUUUUUUUCACUUGCCUCUCAGAGCUCAAGUUCCCUCAACUGACUGACUUCCUGUGCAAAAAGUAACUCUAUCUACAGUGCUCAGAUUAUGACAAAAUUAAUAAUUGGAAUCCUACAAAGGCCUACUUUUACAAGAACAUUUAAACAAAAAAUAAAAAAUAAAACAGCAAAGUGACUCAUGUGAUUUCUUGUCAUUAUUUUGCAUAUUUCUGGCAGGCACAAAUCAAACCCUUUGGCAGGCCACCUUUGGCCCAUUGUCC